AAAUUGGGUAUACAUCAAAUUCAAGUGAACUCCCGAAUGAGAAUGCUUUUUCUUUUUUAUUUUUCUCUUGCUGCUCGACCAGCAGUCACCAUUGUCGCCUCCUCCGGCAAAACCCAAACCACCAACAAAAACCCUUUCUCCCCUCCCCCUCUCCUCUUAUCUCUCUCGUUCCAAGUCAACCACCAUGAAAAUCUACCUCUGUUCUCACAUCGAGGUUGACUACAACAACAACACCAAAUCUUGCGGCUGCACUACUCCGACCAGUGAGCUCCGGCGAAGCAAGCAAAACCUCAAUGAAGCAGCGUAUGCACGUGUGAAAACUAGACUAAGGAACUCAAAGGAAGCAUCUACAGAUCUUUUGCAGACUGAGAUUUAGAGAGAAAAGAAUGAAUUCAUUAGAAAGAGAAUUUUCAUCUGUCAGAUCUUUACAAUCAAUCAUCAAUUUAUAGUAUUUCUCAUCUCUUUAAUACUACUGAAAAUAUCUUCCUGAUCCACUACUAACAAUAACUCUGCAC
rnacentral:lncRNA from 1 species